GGAAGAGCCAUUCGAGCCAAGAGAGCAGGCAAUUGCGGUGCCAUGGAACCUUAAGUGUUCGUUGCCAUCGGCCAGGCAUCUGGGGUGCUUCUUUGGGAGCUUACUGGCUUUCAGUUUGAUCGUCUCCCUAUCAUUUCUACUAUCUUCCUAGAGGUGUCUCCCUCCGCAAGUUCGCUCACUGCAGAGAUAAUAUCAUCACAGUCCAUCAGGAUAGAUGUGAAGAAAGGAAAUAUGAGAAAUGAUUAAACCUAUCAGUUCUAUGAGGCAACAGCUGCAGAGGAUACCUGCACAUCUGUUUCAUGGGAGAACCUUGGUGCUGGAACAGCAUGAUGAACUGCAGCAACACCAUUGCCAGGCAAAGCAGGAGAGAGAGAUGAAACCCCAGAAAAGGUAGGACAUC